rnacentral:rRNA from 1 species
AGGGAAUCUUCCACAAUGGACGCAAGUCUGAUGGAGCAACGCCGCGUGAGUGAAGAAGGCUUUCGGGUCGUAAAACUCUGUUGUUGGAGAAGAAUGGUCGGCAGAGUAACUGUUGUCGGCGUGACGGUAUCCAACCAGAAAGCCACGGCUAACUACGUGCCAGCAGNCCGCGGUAAUACGUAGGUGGCAAGCGUUAUCCGGAUUUAUUGGGCGUAAAGCGAGCGCAGGCGGUUUUUUAAGUCUGAUGUGAAAGCCCUCGGCUUAACCGAGGAAGCGCAUCGGAAACUGGGAAACUUGAGUGCAGAAGAGGACAGUGGAACUCCAUGUGUAGCGGUGAAAUGCGUAGAUAUAUGGAAGAACACCAGUGGCGAAGGCGGCUGUCUGGUCUGUAACUGACGCUGAGGCUCGAAAGCAUGGUAGCGAACAGGAUUAGAUACCCUGGUAGUCCAUGCCGUAAACGAUGAAUGCUAGGUGUUGGAGGGUUUCCGCCCUUCAGUGCCGCAGCUAACGCAUUAAGCAUUCCGCCUGGGGAGUACGACCGCAAGGUUGAAAC